rnacentral:rRNA from 1 species
ACUAGCAUUCGCCACUUUUGGCUCAUUGCUAGAAGCUUCAUCUGAACCUUUUGCAUCAUAGUUACCAUUACGGCCUGCUGUUGCAAGGUUAAAU